rnacentral:pre_miRNA from 1 species
GUCAUCAAAAUGGAUAAAAGGAAAUGUAUCUAGACGUAUUUUAGUUUUAGAUACAUCUCUUUUUAUCCAUUUUGAUGACAAGUAUUUUCGGACGAAGGGAGUAGAAA